rnacentral:sRNA from 1 species
GAUAUCAGCUAGGAGGGAGGUGUAUUCCUUGCAAUUCAUAGCAGAAUUCGUUAUCACGGUUUUGGCAGAGGUGGCCGCACACUACAUCUGUAAAUGGUUUGACCGAGACUAAAACGACAGUAAGCCUACCCGUUAAUCGAUAAGAACGUAAAAAAGAGACCACAGCCCGCCAGCUGUGGUCUCUUGGUGUAUUUUUG